GGGGGUAUUCUUUUGUUGGUCUCUCUUUGAGGUCAGCUCCCCUAAAAUAUAUUAGCAGGACAAUUUGUUGACCGUUCAUUGGUGUGAUAACUAUCUACGCUAUUAACGUGAAACAGAUUCAGCUUCUAAUGGUCCAUUGACUUGGACAAAUCUUUCAUUAAUGUGACCUCAAAUCAGGUAGGACUACCCGCUGAACUUAA
rnacentral:misc_RNA from 1 species